rnacentral:rRNA from 1 species
AUCGGUGACAGGUGGUGCAUGGUUGUCGUCAGCUCGUGUCGUGAGAUGUUGGGUUAAGUCCCGCAACGAGCGCAACCCCUAUUGUUAGUUGCCAUCAUUGAGUUGGGCACUCUAAAGAGACUGCCGGUGUCAAACCGGAGGAAGGUGGGGAUGACGUCAAGUCCUCAUGGCCUUUAUGACCAGGGCUACACACGUACUACAAUGGCCGGUACAAAGGGCAGCGACACAGCGAUGUGAAGCGAAUCCCGAAAAGCCGGUCUCAGUCCGGAUUGGAGUCUGCAACUCGACUCCAUGAAGUUGGAAUCGCUAGUAAUCGCGGAUCAGCACGCCGCGGUCGAAUACGUUCCCGGGCCUU